rnacentral:rRNA from 1 species
UGAGGAAUUUUGGACAAUGGGGGAAACCCUGAUCCAGCGACGCCGCGUGGAGGACGAAGGUCUUCGGAUUGUAAACUCCUUUUGCCCGGGAAUAAUAAAUCUGUAGAAAUACAGAGAUUGAAUGUACCGGAUGAAUAAGCCACGGCUAACUACGUGUCAGCAGCCGCGGUAAUACGUAGGUGGCGAGCGUUGUCCGGAAUUACUGGGUGUAAAGGGUGAGUAGGCGGAAUGGCAAGUCAGAUGUGAAAUAUCGGGGCUUAACCCCGGGGCUGCAUUUGAAACUGCUGUUCUUGAAUGAUGGAGAGGCAGGCGGAAUUCCUAGUGUAGCGGUGAAAUGCGUAGAUAUUAGGAGGAACACCAGUGGCGAAGGCGGCCUGCUGGACAUUAACUGACGCUGAGGCACGAAAGCGUGGGGAGCAAACA